rnacentral:rRNA from 1 species
CUUGCUUCUCUUGAGAGCGGCGGACGGGUGAGUAAUGCCUAGGAAUCUGCCUGGUAGUGGGGGAUAACGUCCGGAAACGGACGCUAAUACCGCAUACGUCCUACGGGAGAAAGCAGGGGACCUUCGGGCCUUGCGCUAUCAGAUGAGCCUAGGUCGGAUUAGCUAGUUGGUGGGGUAAUGGCUCACCAAGGCGACGAUCCGUAACUGGUCUGAGAGGAUGAUCAGUCACACUGGAACUGAGACACGGUCCAGACUCCUACGGGAGGCAGCAGUGGGGAAUAUUGGACAAUGGGCGAAAGCCUGAUCCAGCCAUGCCGCGUGUGUGAAGAAGGUCUUCGGAUUGUAAAGCACUUUAAGUUGGGAGGAAGGGCAGUAAAUUAAUACUUUGCUGUUUUGACGUUACCGACAGAAUAGGCACCGGCUAACUCUGUGCCAGCAGCCGCGGUAAUACAGAGGGUGCAAGCGUUAAUCGGAAUUACUGGGCGUAAAGCGCGCGUAGGUGGUUCGUUAAGUUGGAUGUGAAAUCCCCGGGCUCAACCUGGGAACUGCAUUCAAAACUGACGAGCUAGAGUAUGGUAGAGGGUGGUGGAAUUUCCUGUGUAGCGGUGAAAUGCGUAGAUAUAGGAAGGAACACCAGUGGCGAA